GAUGAACGCUGGCGGCGUGCCUAAUACAUGCAAGUAGAACGCUGAAGGAGGAGCUUGCUUCUCUGGAUGAGUUGCGAACGGGUGAGUAACGCGUAGGUAACCUGCCUGGUAGCGGGGGAUAACUAUUGGAAACGAUAGCUAAUACCGCAUAAUAGUAGAUGUUGCAUGACAUUUGCUUAAAAAGUGCAAUUGCAUCACUACUAGAUGGACCUGCGUUGUAUUAGGUAGUUGGUGAGGUAACGGCUCACCAAGGCAACGAUACAUAGCCGACCUGAGAGGGGGGACGGCCAAAAUGGGACCGAGACACGGCCCAGAACUCCAACGGAGGGCGCAGUAGGGGAUCUUUGGGAAUGGACGGAAGUCUGAACGAGCAACGGCGCGUGAGUGAAGAAGGGUCUCGGAUCGUAAAGAUCCGUUGUAAGAGAAGAAAGAGUGUGAGAGUGGACAGUUCACACUGUGACGGUAUCUUAUCAGAAAGGGACGGCUAACUACGUG
rnacentral:rRNA from 1 species